rnacentral:rRNA from 1 species
UACGAAGGGGGCUAGCGUUGUUCGGAAUUACUGGGCGUAAAGCGCGUGUAGGCGGGUCUUUAAGUCAGGGGUGAAAUGCCAGGGCUCAACCUUGGAACUGCCUUUGAUACUGGGGACCUUGAGUCCGGGAGAGGUGAGUGGAAUUGCGAGUGUAGAGGUGAAAUUCGUAGAUAUUCGCAAGAACACCAGUGGCGAAGGCGGCUCACUGGCCCGGAACUGACGCUGAGACGCGAAAGCGUGGGUAGCAAACAGG